rnacentral:rRNA from 1 species
CCUACGGGUGGCUGCAGUGGGGAAUUUUGGACAAUGGGGGCAACCCUGAUCCAGCCAUGCCGCGUGCGGGAAGAAGGCCUUCGGGUUGUAAACCGCUUUUGUCAGGAGAGAAAUCUCUUGGGCUAAUACCCUGAGAGGAUGCCGGUACCUGAAGAAUAAGCACCGGCUAACUACGUGCCAGCAGCCGCGGUAAUACGUCGGGUGCAAGCGUUAUUCGGAAUUACUGGGCGUAAUGGCAGCGCAGGCGUGAAAUCCCCGGGCUUAACCUGGGAACUGCGCUUGUGACUGCACGGCUAGAGUACGGCAGAGGGGGAUGGAAUUCCGCGUGUAGCAGUGAAAUGCGUAGAUAUGCGGAGGAACACCGAUGGCGAAGGCAGUCCCCUGGGCCUGUACUGACGCUCAUGCACGAAAGCGUGGGGAGCAAACAGGAUUAGAUACCCGUGUAGUC